AUACCAUGAUGGGGACAUUUUCUCAAUAUCUCCUUGAACCUUUCCCAAGAUUCUUACAAAGAUUCACCAUCCAGCUGAUAAAUAUUAUUAAUCUCUUCCACCCCC